UAACUUUAACAGAAUCUUGUUGGUAAUCCAAUAUAUCGGAACGUAGCCUAUCGUCGAUGGUUAAUGCCACGUAUAUCCGGUGGACCAACACGUUUCGCGCGAUAUAGUAAUUCGAUCGUUAAUUUACAGUGGUCGCUGAUGUAUUAAUCGAGUGUUUUUGAUUAUGUUGAACUUUUGUACAGCAUAUUGAAGCUCCAGUCCACAAUGAAGUACAAGCUUUACGUCGCAUUACUAGUUUUUUCUUUUCUAAGCUAUGUCGCCUGUCAAUACAGAACGAAAAAUAAUUAAGGUACUUCGUUGGCGGAACGUGUACAACAAUUAACAGAAAUGGCCAUGAAAAAAUCGGUAUUGAAAUUCAACGGAUCAAAAUUUAAAUAAUACAUUAAAGCUCCUCCGAGGAAUUAUUCUGUUAUAGUUAUGUUUACUGCUAUGGCACCUCAGACACAAUGUCAAAUUUGCCGACAUGCCAAUGAUGAAUUUACAAUAGUGGCGAACUCCUUCCGAUAUUCUCCAUUAUAUUCCAACAAGUUAUUCUUUGUCUCUAUUGACUUUGACGAAGGAUCAGAU